rnacentral:lncRNA from 1 species
GGAGUGUGCGAGAUGGGUUACCACCUUCCCAGCCCUAAUGACGUGAGGCUUUGCAGGCUGCAGCAGCAGCCUCAGCUCCCCACGGAGCCGGUGGGGGUUGGGGGGGAUCAGCCCACAGCCCCCCACACCCAGACUCCCUCUAUACCCACCCCUUGCACCCCACAGCUGGAUGCUGCCACUGGCUUUGUGGGGAGAGCUGUACCCCCAAGCCCUGGCGUGGAUGAGGGGAUGAGAAGGUGAUGCCCAUCCGUGGUGACCUGGGGACCUUCCCGUGGCGGUGGGAGAGGAGGCAGCUGGGGGCUGCAGGCAGGAGACCACACUCGGCUGCUGCUGCUGAAUGCUCUGAGGCUUCACACGGCGAGAAGAAUGAGCAGAUAAUAGGAUUUUCCAUCUCUUCAAAGGGCGCGUGAGCCAGCGCUGUGCGGUGCCCUGGGAAGAGCCGUGGGGAAGAUCCCGCACCUCCCGGCCGGCACCGCAGCCGCGGGGAUGCUCCCAGCUGCACAGCAUCCCCCUGAGCACAAACGGGGACCGGGGACCCAAGUCCCACGAGGGAACAAGGCUGGCGGGCACGUUAUCGCUGCCGCUUCCCAGGGGAGGCAAGAGGAUGGCAAACCCCAGCGAUGCCACGCCAGGAGCCAAGGGGAAAUUCAGGCGCCUCCGGCCCGACACGGUGCGUUUUCACCCAGAACAGCUGCUCUGCCCGAAAAUCAAAGGGGAAAGCAGACAGAGGGGUUUCUGCUUCGUGCUCAGAACAGCCAGGGCACGCACACACCACCACACCGAAGGCACAAAACACCCGCACCUCCUCCACCAGCCCGGGGCACAGCAGCCAUCCCCCCGGUGAGCCUGGGGUCCCCUCUGUCCCCGACCACCGCGCAGGGACAGCCCAGGGACCAUCUGGAAGCUCACUUGAAGAGCUCCCGCGUCCCUGCAUCCCCGCUCCAUUUCUCCUCGGAUGGCUUAUCAGCAGUGACUUUCCCGACAGCAAUCGAUAGAAAACAUUUUAUCGCCUUCCCAGGCGGCAGGAUCCUUGGAGUGGGGCUGAUUUCUGUUUCUAUGGUGACAUCUUCCGGGCUUAUGAAAGAUCUUGCCUUUCUUGGUUGUUGUUGGGUNNNNNNNNNNUAUUACUGUUUUCAGCGUCACAAGGAAGUCACCAGCCAGACAAAUGCCAUGCCCGCAGCUCACUCGCAGCGCUGCUGCCGGCUGGGAGGGGCCCCAGGGCAGCUUUCAUCCCCUGAAACCCACGGAGCCUCAAACACAUGUUGCUCCCUUUACCUUGUGAAUGGCAUCACCUCCUGCUGCCUGGCCCUGCCGAAACAGCCCACGUGCUCCUCCUGGAAGCCACUCUCCUGGAGGCACCCUCCUCUGGGAGAUGGAUGGAUGGAUGGAUAGAUGGAUGGAUGGAUGGAUGGAAGGAUGGACAGAUGACCUCUCCUGUCACAGAUGCCCUGCACUGAUGCAUUUAGCAAAGUAUCCCCCAGCUGGGUGGGUUUGAAAAGCAUCUCCAUCUUGGCAGUAUUCUGCCCGUACCUUCCCCGUACCGAUCAAGCUGCGCUGCUCUAUUUAGUUAAUGUUUCUCAGUGGCACAGCCUUCUGCCUGCACAAAAAUAAAUAAAUAAAAUAAAACA